ACUCAAAUGAAUUGACGGGGGCCCGCACAAGCGGUGGAGCAUGUGGUUCAAUUCGACGCAACGCGAAGAACCUUACCCAGGCUUGAACAGCGAGUGACCACCUACGAAAGUAGGCUUCCGCAAGGACACUCGUAGAGGUGCUGCAUGGCUGUCGUCAGCUCGUGUCGUGAGAUGUUGGGUUAAGUCCCGCAACGAGCGCAACCCUUGUCUACUGUUGCCAUCAGGUCAAGCUGGGCACUCUGUAGAGACUGCCGGUGAUAAACCGGAGGAAGGUGGGGAUGACGUCAAGUCAGCAUGGCCUUUAUGUCUGGGGCUACACACGUGCUACAAUGGCCGGUACAAACCGUCGCGAGCCCGAGAGGGGGAGCUAAUCGGAAAAAGCCGGUCUCAGUUCGGAUAGCAGGCUGCAACUCGCCUGCUUGAAGUUGGAAUCGCUAGUAAUCGCGGAUCAGCACGCCGCGGUGAAUACGUUCCCGGGCCUUGUACACACCGCCCGU
rnacentral:rRNA from 1 species